rnacentral:misc_RNA from 1 species
UGGUUCCUCAGAGGGUAUGAUGCACGAGUUCCAUUCUAAGAUUUCACCCCAACAAAAGCAACUCGAAAUAUAGUAGAGCUUCAAUAUGUGAUGAAGCCAACUAGGCAGCUGCGCUACCAACUUUCACCUGACCUCUUGAUAUGACCAUCCAAAAAAACUUAACCGUGCUUGUAUUAUAACAUAGAAAUUCUCAUCGCUUACGUUCUUGCCUCCACUUGAAGACAGGUUUGGUUGUUGGGUUGACAAGCUCUUCUUCACGAAGUUUGCGUUUCCUUCCUGAUUUCUGUAAUUCUUUCUGCAUUGCCAUAUCCAUGUAUACUUUCUCUAAAUCUCUGACUCUGCUCUUUCUUGCUUCCAACUCUCUGUAAGAUGUAGCUGUCUUUCUUCUAAUACUGCUAGGCAAGUUCUCAGAAGCAGCCAGAUUACCACGUUCUGAAGCCUUAGACGCUAACUCUUCUGCUUCCUCCCUGUCCUCAGCAUAGUAGACACGUUUAUUUGAUGGCUUAUUAUCAAGGGAGUGCAGCAUGGCAGUUAACUUCUCAAUUUUCUUUUUCUCACUCUGAACUUUCUGUAAAAUAUAGCCUAUAUCCUGAGUCUUCAUUAACAUGAGUUCCUCUGGAGUGUAUUUAUUUGCUUGGCUCUCCAAUUUAUGCACUCCAUCAACAGUUUUUGUUUUAACCAUCUUGAAGUAGAACUCAUCUGGAUUUCGAAAUGCUGCUUUUUCCUUGAGUUUCUGCAAAGUCUGCUCCUUUUUGUGGAAUGAUGUCGCCCGUACCACAUAAUCUUUGUGUUUCUCAAGCAACCCGAAUUUUUUCCUUGCUUGUGGCUGAGCUCGCUCCUUAUGAGCUCGUCUAGGAAUUGCAUUCUUGAACGACGACAUUUUAGAAUUGAUUAAUUCACUGAAGCAACAACAACGAAAAUACAGCAAAAAGCAAAUCUACAGGACGAGGAGGAGGAAGAAGAAGGGUUUGGCUGCACAAUUGCUGGGGUUUUAGGAUUUGGGCUUUUUAUUUGACCCGCUAUUAAGAUGGAG